rnacentral:rRNA from 1 species
AGAGCGAACGCUGGCGGCAGGCCUAAUACAUGCAAGUCGAACGCACCUUCGGGUGAGUGGCGGACGGGUGAGUAACACGUGGGAACGUGCCUUUUGGUUCGGAAUAAUCCGGGGAAACCUGGCCUAAUACCGGAUGUGCCCUUCGGGGGAAAGAUUUAUCGCCAUUAGAGCGGCCCGCGUCUGAUUAGCUUGUUGGUGGGGUAAUGGCCCACCAAGGCUACGAUCAGUAGCUGGUCUGAGAGGAUGAUCAGCCACACUGGGACUGAGACACGGCCCAGACUCCUACGGGAGGCAGCAGUAGGGAAUCUUGCGCAAUGGGCGAAAGCCUGACGCAGCCAUGCCGCGUGAAUGAUGAAGGUCUUAGGAUUGUAAAAUUCUUUCAGCGGGGAAGAUAAUGACUGUACCCGCAGAAGAAGCUCCGGCUAACUUCGUGCCAGCAGCCGC